CACUUUUAGUCAAUUAAAUUGGGCUAGCUAUAUAAACACAUCAACGUUUUCAAUCAUUUAAAACCCUAAAAUUCUAAAGUCUCUUUAUCGAAUACGAACACAUAUUCACCACCGAUUGUAGCCUUCAACUCGCCUCCCUCCAUAACCACCGCAUUUAAUGUAAUAGAUCUGAAGCGACUCAUGUCUGCUUCUCCUUCGUCUACAAAGAUAAAUUGAGUCACAUAUCGAUUCCGUGGUGAACUUGAAUUUUAGCUGUCAUUAGAAUGGGCACAAAUAAUAAAGACGUACACUUCUGCUUUCUUCUUCUUCCAUUCUCCCGAAAUCUCUCGCCCACCACCAAGGUAUAUCCCUCUUUUACCAUUUUGUUAUCACAAACCCACUCACACAUCACAAAUUUGAUACAAAGGUUUAAUGUUAAUCUUGGAUUUUUUUUUCCUUGAAAAUAGUUUUAUAAUUGGGGGGUUUUAUCUUAUUUUUUAGGGAUGUAGAAAAAACAAAUGUAAAGGAUGUUAAUGGAAAUGACAGUGGUUCAAGAAUAUUUUUAGGUCAUUCUUUUUAUUUUAAUAUUCAUUUUUACUUUUAUUAAAUACUAUAUUUUUGCAUUAUGAUUCCAUGCCACUGCAGAGGUGGGUGUUCUCCUUAGUCAAUUUUAUAUGGGUAUAACACCAUCUUAUUUUAGAUCCAUUUUUUCAGUAAACAUUUUUAUAGUAUAACUGCUUAUUUGGUGUGUCAAAGAUAUACGAGGUGUAGAGCUGCAAGUUAUCAAACUCGAAACUGGAUACAAUUUUAUUAAAGGUAUUUCACAUCCUGGCACAUCCUGGCAGCCACAAAUGAUAGUUGCUCAUUUUGGGACGACUAAUUAUUUUUUAUAUGCUCUAUUUAUGAUAUUUGUAUAAAUCCGUUGUAGAGAAAGAAAUUAGUAUUAUAGAUUAAAAAAAGAAAUAAGUUUAUCUAAAAGAAUGUCAGAUUUUAAGAUUAAACAUGUCUCGAUCAUGUCAGAUUUUACAAUUUUGAUAAAUUUAUUCUUAUAUGCCUUCAAAAAAUGUUUAAUUAUAAUGCACAUGUUUUGGCUUAAUCUGAUGUUAAAUUUACUUCAUGUAUCCAAUUACAACAUAAGUAGGUAAAAUUUUAUCUGAUUGUUACAUUUUUUGUUCUUUCGUUUUUUAGCAUCUUUUUGUUUAAUUAAAAAAAAUACACGAGUUUAUCAAUAUAUCCAAUUUUAUUUUUUGGUUUGAAAGAAGUUCAUGUCACGUUUUGAGACCCAUCAGGUAUAAAAUAAACAUAUCUUGAGAGUUUUCUUAUGGAUAGAACAACCUUUUGAUCUAUCCUUCGCGAGUGUAAUGUCUUUUUUUAUUUUAAUUAAUUCUAUAUGUGUUUAAAUUCAUAAAGGUGGCUUAGAGUGACCAAAAGUUGAUUUGAAUUUUUGCAAAUCUUAUAUAUGUUUUCUAUUGUUCUCUCUCUCUCACUCUCUCUCUCUCUCUUUUUUUUUUUUUUUUUUUUUUGACAAAGAUGAGACUUUUUUUUUGCCGUUGUUGAGUGAUGUUUGUACCUUAGUGAUAUAAUAAUAAAAAAAUUAAAUAGAAAUUGAAGUUCCAUGUAGAAGUGUUAGAGGUAAUAGUGGUGACAGGUAGUCUUCAUUAUAUCUAUUAUGACAUCGUGGUUCAUAUAAUGGUCUGGAAUGACGAUGUAUAAUAUGAGAAUCAUAAUAUCAACUUGUGAAAUUAGUUUUAAAAUUUUAGUUAAUAAUUGGUGUUUUUAGCUCUUUUUUGGCAUGACAUGUAUUUCUUCUUUUCUUUGCAGUUUUGAUUUGUCUAAAAUACAUUCUUAUUGAAACAUGGCAAUAAUGGUUUGGAAUCACGAUGUAUGCAUGUUUGUUGUUCAA